CGGAGGGAGCUAGCGUUGUUCGGAAUUACUGCGCGUAAAGCGUACGUAGGCGGUUAUUCAAGUCAGAGGUGAAAGCCCGGGGCUCAACCCCGGAACGGCCUUUGAAACUAGAUAGCUAGAAUCUUGGAGAGGUCAGUGGAAUUCCGAGUGUAGAGGUGAAAUUCGUAGAUAUUCGGAAGAACACCAGUGGCGAAGGCGACUGACUGGACAAGUAUUGACGCUGAGGUACGAAAGCGUGGGGAGCAAACAGGAUUAGAUACCCUGGUAGUCCACGCCGUAAACGAUGAUAACUAGCUGUCCGGGCACUUGGUGCUUGGGUGGCGCAGCUAACGCAUUAAGUUAUCCGCCUGGGGAGUACGGUCGCAAGAUUA
rnacentral:rRNA from 1 species